rnacentral:rRNA from 1 species
UACGAAGGGGGCUAGCGUUGCUCGGAAUCACUGGGCGCAAAGCGCACGUAGGCGGAUUGCUAAGUCAGGGGUGAAAUCCUGGAGCUCAACUCCAGAACUGCCUUCGAUACUGAAGAGCUCGAGUCCGGGAGAGGUGAGUGGAACUGCGAGUGUAGAGGUGAAAUUCGUAGAUAUUCGCAAGAACACCAGUGGCGAAGGCGGCUCACUGGCCCGGUACUGACGCUGAGGUGCGAAAGCGUGGGGAGCAAACAGG